rnacentral:rRNA from 1 species
GAUGAACGCUAGCGGGAGGCCUAACACAUGCAAGCCGAGCGGUAUUUGUUCUUCGGAACAGAGAGAGCGGCGCACGGGUGCGGAACACGUGUGCAACCUGCCUUUAUCUGGGGGAUAGCCUUUCGAAAGGAAGAUUAAUACCCCAUAAUAUAUUGAGUGGCAUCAUUUGAUAUUGAAAACUCCGGCGGAUAGAGAUGGGCACGCGCAAGAUUAGAUAGUUGGUGAGGUAACGGCUCACCAAGUCAAUGAUCUUUAGGGGGCCUGAGAGGGUGAUCCCCCACACUGGUACUGAGACACGGACCAGACUCCUACGGGAGGCAGCAGUGAGGAAUAUUGAACAAUGGGUUAGCGCCUGAUCCAGCCAUCCCGCGUGAAGGACGACGGCCCUAUGGGUUGUAAACUUCUUUUGUAUAGGGAUAAACCUACUCUCGUGAGAGUAGCUGAAGGUACUAUACGAAUAAGCACCGGCUAACUCCGUG